GGGGAUAUGGUGGAAUGGUAGACACAACAGACUUAAAAUUUGUUGAUUUUAUAAAUCGUGAGGGUUCAAAUCCCUCUAUCCCUAC
rnacentral:tRNA from 1 species